rnacentral:rRNA from 1 species
GACGAACCGUGCGAACGUUGUUCGGAAUCACUGGGCUUAAAGGGCGCGUAGGCGGCCCCAAAAGUCCGGGGUGAAAUCUUUCGGCUUAACCGGAAAAUCGCCUUGGAUACUGUGGGUCUCGAGGGAGGUAGGGGCAUGCGGAACUUCCGGUGGAGCGGUGAAAUGCGUUGAUAUCGGAAGGAACUCCGGUGGCGAAAGCGGCGUGCUGGAUCUCUUCUGACGCUGAGGCGCGAAAGCCAGGGGAGCAAACGGG